UAUCCAUGGUGAGGACACAUUACUCAAUAGCUCCUUAAAUCUCUCCCAAGACUGAUACAAAGUCUCACUAUCCUUUUGUACAAAGGUGGAGAUUUGUCUUUUUAAAGCA